UACGUAGGGUGCGAGCGUUUGUCCGGAAUUAUUGGGCGUAAAGGGCUCGUAGGCGGUUUGUCGCGUCGGGAGUGAAAACCAGGUGCUUAACACCUGGCUUGCUUUCGAUACGGGCAGACUAGAGGUAUGCAGGGGAGAACGGAAUUCCUGGUGUAGCGGUGAAAUGCGCAGAUAUCAGGAGGAACACCGGUGGCGAAGGCGGUUCUCUGGGCAUUACCUGACGCUGAGGAGCGAAAGUGUGGGGAGCGAACAGG
rnacentral:rRNA from 1 species